GGAUCAAUCUAUCGGUCGUGCAAUAGUACGUACUGAUUUUAUUGAUUCCUACCUUCUGAUGAACUAUGAUGUCAUUAAUUUGGUGUCAUAGGGAAUCAGGACUGUUACUUUGAAUAAAUUAGAGUGUUUAAAGCAGGCGUUACAAGCUUGAAUACAUUAGCAUGGAAUAAUAAAGUAGGA
rnacentral:rRNA from 1 species